rnacentral:tRNA from 1 species
GUUGAGGUAGCCAAGCUAGGUAUGGCGCUGGGUUGCUAAACCCGUGUCCCCUUAAAGGACUCGGGGGUUCAAAUCCCUCCCUCAACG